rnacentral:pre_miRNA from 1 species
UAGCCACUUUGAGUUACGAUUAUUACUAUAUUAAUUUACAAGAUUAUAGUAACUUCUUACUAAGUGAUUUACUAUAACAUUACGGUAAAUAUCCUCAUGUGUUAUAAUAACCCAACUAUCGUAAAUAUGUAUACAUAUUAUCGCAAAUUAGUAUAUAAAAUUAUCGUAAAUGGAGGUGGCUA